CUCCAUAUGCUUACACUUCACGCCGGCUCCCGUGACUCCGUGACCCGCACCUCCCCUCGCGGCGUCUCCGAGCCGACCAUGAGCUGCCGUCGCAGCUCGAGUCGCGUGACGCCUGCCCCUCGAUGUGUUAGAAUUAUCCGAGUCCACAUAGUUGAUGUAUCCAGGAUCAAGCAAUCACACAAGCACGACACCGAGAUUUAUUAACGAGGUUCACCAUCAUGCCUACAUCUCCGGGACCUGACUAAGGGCGCUCCUCCUCAUAACACCAUCACAAUACCGCACACCGGCCGCCUGGACGUCGGCACACGUCGUCGGCUGCCCCCGCGUACCUGUGCUAUUAUGUUUGCUUAGGUUACAUCGUGUGUCUACCCCCGCUAUAUAUGAGAGGCCUAGGAUAUAAGUGUUCUGUUUGGACACGACUUCAUAUCCUACCUAAACACAAUACAACUACAAGUACAACUGUAACCUACCUCGUACACAAUAUUUGACACAACUCUAACAAACUUCACCUUGGCGAAUAUUCUCCACCACCUUGAGUUCAUUCAUGCGUCAAACUUCCAUGUACAUUGGACUUGAGAUACGCCAUGAGCACCACUGCUACUUCCAGACUCCAUGUGACUCCACCUGCAACUGUAGUCCCUUCUCCUCUUCUUCACAAUCAACCCUCGAGCAAAGUUAAGUUCCUUUUUACUCUACUUUGUGCAUCCAACUUCCGGAGUAUCCAUUCAACGCCAUCACACACUGAUCACUGACCUGCGUGAAAGUGAACAACCCACAUAUUAAAUGCCACAUAUAUGAGUUAUCUGAACUCAACAUCCUUGCUCUUUCUUGACCAUCCGUAUGAAACUUGAAGGAAUUUCACCGUCGCUUUGUGUCAUCCAGAGUCAAAUUCGCAGUUGUCUCAUCCUUUUCUCGAAUAGUCUCUGACAUGUCCCACAGCUAUAGCACUCCGCCUCCUUCUGUACUUGUCAUCCGCACUUUGCCAUGUGCACUGAACCCCACAGAAUAUACGGCCAUGUACUCUCUCCGCUUAUGACAAUUCAGACUUUCCGUCACUUUCUUAGAUUCUCCAUGGUCAACUCCCGUCCAUCAAACCGGCACCGAUAGACCGAGUCACCAACUUGAAUCUGAUACUCGCCAACACUACUUCAACACCUUUUUCACAAUUUGUCUGACCACAUGUCUGACAACCAGUGCCUUGGUCUCUCACUGUUUCCCAUGCUUACCGCAUGCCUCGCUGCUAUCACCGCGUCGAGCCUCUGCUGUCAUGGUCGAGUCUCCAAGGUCGCAAACCCACACCACUCAACCCCCACUGCAGAGAACCACCGAUCAUCACCGACCGAUGCCGAGUAUCACGUCUCCAUCAGACCACUGGUACCUCGUUCGAUCCACGUGUCUCUCGCUAUCCGCUGAAAACGGCUUCGACUCUCCAUGCAUUUACACCGUAGCCCCUCCAUCAGCACGGAGUGAAGUCUUCCACUAGACUCCAGCUCCACCUUCAACAUGAUUCCAUGUAGCUGGCCCUGCUACCCUGCGCCCUGUCGACUUCAAGCUCUCAUGUGUGCACUGUCUUGAAUCAACCCCGCAACAUAGUCUUGUCGAAGUCACACAAGCCCUCGGGCCUGCACCACGUGUUUCCACGCCCAAGAAGUCAGCCACCAUUAGCAUCACGCUCCUAUGUCGUCGUCGCUGAAAUCACCGCCUUCUUCUGCUUUGACCGACAUCCCCGUCGAUCCGUCAGACUAUCCAGUCCGACCGAGCCGAGAAUUAUCCGGCUGGAACCAUGCUCCACCUUGUGUCAUAUCCGCCUCACACAUCCGUGCAUUGCUUGACGCCCUAUGUAUGCAUGAUCUCGCCACAACGCGCUCCAGACUUCUCCGAGCCUUAUACGCACGUAGUCGUCCUUGGUUCCCAUUUGACUGCUUUAUGAAACAACACCACCGCUGCCACUCUGCCAUAAUGCCAUCUCAACUAACAUGCAAGAAAGAAAUAGCCCUUGACAGUCUCAGUGCACAUGCAAUAACCAGUUCAAUUAACUUUAUUAUAAAUCAUAGCACCACGUGACUCCCUUGACCAAAUUCUUCUUCCCUUGCUCACCCUUUUCUCACCUUGAGAUCAAUGUGAUGGCAACCAAUGAAUCCCAUGUUCCAAUAUGCUCCAGUACCAUCCAUAACCCCUUUUUUCAUAACAAAUCUCGUGCCUUCAUUCUUUGCACUUCCAACAUCAGCCACGCUUGCGCGCAUGAGCAUCCCAUGUGACCCUCUCUUGCACUUCACGAGCCAGCCACACCCUCACCAUAAGACCAUGCUUGACCGACCACCAGUAUACAUGGGUCGUAACCCAUCAACCUGAGCCGCAUGCACUACUGCCAGCUGCUUGCAUGCGUCGCGUCUGCCGCCGCUCCUGCGUUGCGCCUAUCUAGGGAUGCCUCUGCUCGUGUCCGCCGCAUCGCUUGACUCGUCGGCGACUCUGCACUGCCGCUGCUUUCGAUCUUGUCAAUACUCCCGAGUCCUGAUGCUGCACAAUUUGCCUUCCGCAUGCGAGCGUAUGAUCUGCUGAAUCAAUCUGAUGCAUCCGCCUCGUCCGAUCCGACCAGCCACCUUGCCCUGCACUGCUUGCAUGCGUCUCGAUCGGAUGGAACCCAUCUCGCCUAAAGCCCGAACAGAACACGCGCGCCGGCUGCAAAGCACAUCUUGCCAACACUCUGCCUAUUUACGAUCGCUUCUAAUCCAGCAUAGAAUUUCCUCGCCAAACAUCCACCACGAGUGAUCCAUCUCAACGAAUUCUACUCCACCUAUAGAUCAACCACCACUGCCUCUUCGAACCUUGCUCUGAUACCACUUGUUAGAAUAAUCCAAGCCCACAUAGUUGAUCUAUCGAGGAUCAAGCAAUCACACAAGCAUGACACCGAGAUUUAUUAACGAGGUUCACCAUCCUGGCUACAUCCCCGGGACCUGACUACGGGCGCUCCUCCCCAUAACACCAUCACAAUACCGCACACCGGCCGCCUGGGCGCCGGCACACGCCGCAGGCUGCCCCCGCGUACCUGUGCUAUUAUGUUUGCUUAGGUUACAUCGUGUGUCUACCCCCGCUAUAUAUGAGAGGCCUAGGAUAUAAG
rnacentral:lncRNA from 1 species